rnacentral:rRNA from 1 species
AGGACGAACGCUGGCGGCGUGCUUAACACAUGCAAGUCGAACGGUGAAGUCGGUGCUUGCACCGACCGAUCAGUGGCGAACGGGUGAGUAACACGUGAGUAACCUGCCCCUGACUCUGGGAUAACCCCGGGAAACCGGAGCUAAUACCGGAUACGAACCACUCAGGCAUCUGAGAGGUUGGAAAGACUUAUCGGUCAGGGAUGGACUCGCGGCCUAUCAGCUUGUGGUGAGGUACGCCACAAGGCGACGACGGGUAGCCGGCUGAGAGGGCGAUCGGACCGACACGUGGGACUGAGACACGGCCCAGACUCCGUACGGGAGCAGCAGGUGGGAAUAGUGCACAAUGGGACAAGCCUGAUGACAGCGACGCCGCGUGAGGACG